rfam:Operophtera brumata OBRT01_Sc07507, whole genome shotgun sequence.
GUGCCUCAAUCUAUUGAGUAAGGAAAUUAUUGGGCCCAGUUAAUCGCUGGGCAAUGUCCGUAAAGGGCGAAUCCGUUUUUGUAGGGUUCAGGUCGUCCCUUGGGCUGGCACCUACUUUGUGCUCGGCUCGGGUGAAGCGAUCUGCCUU